UGGGGAAUAUUGCACAAUGGGCGCAAGCCUGAUGCAGCCAUGCCGCGUGUAUGAAGAAGGCCUUCGGGUUGUAAAGUACUUUCAGCGGGGAGGAAGGGAGUAAAGUUAAUACCUUUGCUCAUUGACGUUACCCGCAGAAGAAGCACCGGCUAACUCCGUGCCAGCAGCCGCGGUAAUACGGAGGGUGCAAGCGUUAAUCGGAAUUACUGGGCGUAAAGCGCACGCAGGCGGUUUGUUAAGUCAGAUGUGAAAUCCCCUGGCUCAACCUGGGAACUGCAUCUGAUACUGGCAAGCUUGAGUCUCGUAGAGGGGGGUAGAAUUCCAGGUGUAGCGAUGAAAUGCGUAGAGAUCUGGAGGAAUACCGGUGGCGAAGGCGGCCCCCUGGACGAAGACUAACGCUCAGGUGCGAAAGCGUGGGGAGCAAACAGG
rnacentral:rRNA from 1 species